rnacentral:tRNA from 1 species
AAGGCAGUGGCGCAUUUGGCAAGCGAGCCUCGUUAUCGGGGUGUCCUUAGGACUUUGUCGGUUCAACUCCGACCUGCCUAUCUA